AUGGCUCAGCAAGUUUGUUAGGGAAAGAAUGACCAAACAGAUCAGAAACUUGAGCCAUCUUGACUAGCACCCUCCGAACAAUUUCACCCAGGUACAUCCCGGAAAUUGUCUUCUCAAAUAUCUGCGGAUAUUGCAAGCACAAGGAUUUAUGCUUUCAAUAUCCAUGGCUCUGUCAAAUUCAGUCAGAGGAAGAUUGUCUGAGAAGGCUCCCCACUCAGUGUUGAUAAUCUGCAUUGCAGAGACUUCAGUCAACUCCAUUACCCCUUUUGUUUUAUUUGAAAGAGCAUAGAAAUGGCAUGCAUCCAACUUCACUUAAGAACUAAAUAAAAGACCUUGACUUUUAUUUUGUGAGCAAAUAAAAGAAGUUGACUUGUUACAGCAUAGAGGAUACCGUGUUUCCUGCUCCAAGUCCAAGGUGUUGCAGCUUUGGGAUGACCUCGGUUCGCUCAAUGUAGCAAGCAUUUGUGCCGGUGCCCAAAAUGACAGCAACCAUCACAUCGUCAUCCCAAUAAUGUGCUCCAGCUAAGGUUCCAACGGUAUCAUUUACCUGUUAAGUAUGGUUCACUCUGUUUUAAAAGUUUAACACAGUAUCAUGCACUACUGAUUAAGUGGAAAGAAUGUCACUUCAAAUGCA